rnacentral:sRNA from 1 species
GGGCCCCUUUGCUUUCCUUCCAUAUGCCCAAAAGCCAAAGGUUAAAGAAAAAAUAAAUUUAAAAAGCCAAUGUACCCCUUUCCUUUUUUUUUUCACAUGGGCAUGGGUCCUCGGACUAAAGUUUUGUUUGUCCCCUCAUUUUUCUAAGAAAUUUAUGCUGUGCAUCUUGCACUUACACACUAUGUCACUAAGCAAGGCAGAUUCUGCUAUAGAGAUAUUGAGUGGAUUAGUAUUUAGUAUUUGAUUAUAUACUGCCAUAAAUGUGCUACAACAGGCAGAAUUAUGAAACGAAAAGGACUUGGCUUGAAAAGCACAAACAAGAAGCCUAGUGGUAUGAUGGAACCUGAAUCAGCUAAAGUAAUAGGGAGCAGAUCUUUAGGCCUCCAUAACUUUAGAUGCACUAAAAUGGUAGGAGACGGUAACUCCAAGACAUUUCAAAUGCUGAAUUCUUUGAAACCAUCAGUGCUCAUUAUCAAGCAAGAAAGUGUGAGCCAUGGGUCCAAAUGAUUGUGUACAGCUCUGAGAAAUGUUGUAAAAGAUUGCUCUAAAUUAGUUAGAAAAAAUGGAAGUCUCCAUGC